rnacentral:rRNA from 1 species
UACGUAGGGUGCGAGCGUUAAUCGGAAUUACUGGGCGUAAAGCGUGCGCAGGCGGUGAUGUAAGACAGUUGUGAAAUCCCCGGGCUCAACCUGGGAGCUGCAUUUGUGACUGCAUAGCUAGAGUACGGUAGAGGGGGAUGGAAUUCCGCGUGUAGCAGUGAAAUGCGUAGAUAUGCGGAGGAACACCGAUGGCGAAGGCAAUCCCCUGGACCUGUACUGACGCUCAUGCACGAAAGCGUGGGGAGCAAACAGG